AUUUGUUGAUCUUUCAGGUCUCUUCCACUGAGUUUAUGGUUCCAUGAAUCAUUCCUCGGACACAGGCCAAGUCAGUGAUGAAGUGGUCUGGGGAGUCGUGGGGUCAGAGUUGAAAUGGAGAUGUAGUGAGGGGUGAGAACCGGGGUUCCGAGGGAGGAGAUGCUAAAUGACAGCACAGUGUCAGGAAAUAAGUUUUUUCCCUUGCAAAACUUGGUAAUCAGACGGGAUAUCGGAGAAGUGCACUGGUAGAGAGAAGCAUUAGCCAGUUAGAGAAUGGCAGGGGGGUGGUGGCCUGGUCAAGGGGGAGGACAAGUCCAGGGGUGUUGUGGAUGAAGAAGAUGGCUGCAAUCUCACCCUCCAUUGCUCCCAAAGGAAGGACAAUGCCAUUGUCUUCUGAGUUCAUCUGCAAACACAAAAAAGAACAACUACUGCCUUGGAUACUACAUUGUAAUGUAAAACCUGCGCGAUUUUCUGAGUGGAAACAAAGAUCCACUUGCAAUUUUGCACCCAUACUGCACUCCAGACCCUAUGGUGUUACAGGAAGCGGAGGGACUAAGACUCCAGACUGCCUUCUCGGGGGUUUAAGCAUCAGGUAGGGUGAGGAGGGCGGUACAUUCACCACUGUGAAGCAAAAACGGAAAAGUAGUGUAAUAAAAAUAGAUACAUAGAGGUUUUGAAAAGGAGGUAUUAGUCAAGGGUUCUCCAGAGAAUAAAGAAGUGUGUGUGUGUGUGUGUGUGUGUGUGUGUGUGGAGAGAGAGAGAGAGAGAGAGAGAGAGAGAGAGAGAGAGAGAGAGAGAGAAUGGCAAAUCUGAAUUCUACAAGGAGGCCAGGGAAGAGCUGCUGUUGCCCUUGGAGUCCAGAGGAAACCUGGGGCCCCUUCUCUCCCUCAGAGGAUGCCGAUCUCUUCUCUGAGCUCUUCCACUGAUUGAAUAAGGUCCAAGCAUGUUAUGGAGGGUCAUUGCUUUACUCAGAAGCUGCUGAUCUGAAUGUUAACCGCCUUUGAAACUCACUUUGGUGAACACAUUUUGACUGACUUUUUGGGCACAUAGGUAGGUACCAUGGCCUAACCAAGUUGACACACAUGACUAACCACUGCAAUGUAGAGAAUUAAGCUUUGAGGGUAACACUAGAAAAUCUUGAUAGACAAUAAGAUGUGAGGAUUAGGGGGUUAGAAGUGUGCACAUUUGAGAAAAUAAGAGGGUUGUGAAACUAAUGCUAAAUUGGCAACGAAGUAUUAAUUUAGGCAGCAAAUGGACAUGAUCCUUGUUAAGACUGAUGCACUGUAUUAACUUGAGAAGUUUGGAAGUUUAAGAAGUUCAGUAGGGGGCCAGGAGCCUUACACAUCCUCAUCCUAUGCAAGAGGAAGGCACAGAGAUUUUGUGAGAGCUAUAUCUGCC
rnacentral:lncRNA from 1 species